rnacentral:rRNA from 1 species
UACGGAGGGUGCGAGCGUUAUCCGGAAUUACUGGGCUUAAAGGGUGCGUAGGCGGCCAAGUAAGUCAGGAGUGAAAGUUUGCGGCUCAACCGUAAAAUUGCUUUUGAUACUGCUAGGCUAGAAUUAGGAUGAGGUCAGCGGAAUGUGGCAUGUAGCGGUGAAAUGCAUAGAUAUGCCAUAGAACACCAAUUGCGAAGGCAGCUGGCUAGACCUGGAUUGACGCUGAGGCACGAAAGCGUGGGGAGCAAACAGG